rnacentral:lncRNA from 1 species
UCCACUUUUGACAGACCAAAAAGAUUUAUGGGCGGAGUUUCAGAAGGGUUUGUAGGAGGAAGGUUUAUCAAGGGUUUGUAGAAGCAAAAGAGGCAGUUUUUCGUUCUUCAUCAGCUUAAUUUUCAAAGGUGAUUUUCUUUCUCUCUAUCCCGUACUACAUAUAUAUACAAUUGCAUGCAUAUAUGUAUGUAUAUACACACACACAUAAGGGUUUUCUGUGAUUUUUCUCUUUCCUAAAAUAAGCCGACUCAUGUCCAUGAAUUUGAGUCCUCAGAUUUUGACAUGCACGAGGCUUAAGGGUAGUCCAGGAGUACGUACAGCUGCAUUGUCUCGAUCAAACUUCAUUGGG